CCUACGGGGGGCAGCAGUGGGGAAUAUUGGGCAAUGGAGGCAACUCUGACCCAGCAAUGCCGCGUGAGUGAUGAAGGUAAUUUUAUUGUAAAGCUCUUUUCUUUGGAACGAAUAAAUGACGGUACCAAAGGAAUAAGCCCCGGCUAACUACGUGCCAGCAGCCGCGGUAAUACGUAGGGGGCAAGCGUUGUUCGGAAUGACUGGGCGUAAAGGGUGUGUAGGUGGUUUGAUAAGUUAGAUGUGUAAUACCCAGGGCUUAACUCGGGUGCUGCAUCUAAAACUGUUAUUCUAGAGUAUGGGAGAGGUAGGUGGAAUUCUUGGUGUAGGGGUAAAAUCCGUAGAGAUCAAGAGGAAUACUCAUUGCGAAGGCGACCUGCUAGAACAUAACUGACGCUGAUGCGCGAAAGCGUGGGGAGCAAACAGGAUUAGAUACCCGGGUAGUC
rnacentral:rRNA from 1 species